rnacentral:tRNA from 1 species
GGCCUUAUAGUCAAUAAUGAUAUUAGACUGCAAUUCUAAAGGAGUAAUAUUAAAUAUUACUAAGGCUU